AAUCAGCGCUGGCGGCGUGCCUCAGACAUGCAAGUCGAACGAUUAAGACUCCCUUCGGGGAGUGCAUAGAGUGGCGCACGGGUGAGUAACACGUAAGUAAUCUACCCUCGAGUGGGGAAUAACAACAGGAAACGGUUGCUAAUACCGCAUAAUGCAGCGGCACAGCAAGGUGUCAGUUGUUAAAGGUGCAAUCCGCUUGAGAAGGAGCUUGCGGCAGAGAAGCUAGUUGGUAAGGUAACGGCUGACCAAGGCUACGAUCUGUAUCCGGCCGGAGAGGGCGGUCGGACACACUGCAACUGAAUAACGGGUCAGACUCCUACGGGAGGCAGCAGUCGGGAAUUUUGGGCAAUGGGCGAAAGCCUGACCCAGCAACGCCGCGUGAAGGAUGAAGUAUUUCGGUAUGUAAACUUCGAAAGAAUAGGAAGAAUAAAUGACGGUACUAUUUAUAAGCUCCGGCUAACUACGUGCCAGCCGCCGCUGUAAAAC
rnacentral:rRNA from 1 species